rnacentral:rRNA from 1 species
GAUGAACGCUGGCGGCGUGCCUAAUACAUGCAAGUCGAGCGAACAGACGAGGAGCUUGCUCCUCUGACGUUAGCGGCGGACGGGUGAGUAACACGUGGAUAACCUACCUAUAAGACUGGGAUAACUUCGGGAAACCGGAGCUAAUACCGGAUAAUAUAUUGAACCGCAUGGUUCAAUAGUGAAAGACGGUUUUGCUGUCACUUAUAGAUGGAUCCGCGCCGCAUUAGCUAGUUGGUAAGGUAACGGCUUACCAAGGCAACGAUGCGUAGCCGACCUGAGAGGGGGAUAGGCCACACUGGAACUGAGACACGGUCAAGACUACUACGGGAGGCAGCAGUAGUGAAUCGUCCGCAAUGGGCGAAAGCUUGACGGAGCAACGCCGCGUCAGUGCUGACGGUCUUCGGAUCGUAAAAAUCUGUUAUUAGGGAAGAACAAAUGUGUAAGUAAAUAUGCACGUCUUGACGGUACCUAAUCAGAAAGCCACGGCUAACUACGUG